rnacentral:ncRNA from 1 species
CUCGUUGAGUUUAAGCAUAUAAUUAAGUGGAGGAAAAGAAACUUAAAAGGAUUCCCUUAGUAACGAAGAGCAAACCGGGAAGAGCCCAACAUGAAAAUCGGCUGGCAGCACUGCAUGAAUUGUAGUUUUUAUAAGCAUCCUUAGCGGUGGACUGGGCCCAAGUCCCCUGGAAGGGGGCACCUGAGAGGGUGACAACCCCGUCGGGCUGGGACCCUGCCGCACCAUGAGGCAUUGUUGACGAUUUGGGUUGUUUGGGAAUGCAUCCCUAAUUGGGUGGUGAAUUCUGUCCAAGUCUAAAUACGGGCAAGAGACCAAUAACAAACAAGCACUGCGAGGGAAAGAUGAAAAGGACUUUGAAAAUAGAGUUAAAGAGUGCUUGAAAUUGCUGAGAGGGAAGCGGAUGGAGGCCGAUGAUGUGUCUCAAUCGGAUGCAGAACAACUCAAGCUGGUCUGCCGCUAGACUCAAGGUGCAAACCAACACAGGCUAUUGCAUCGAUAGAAGCGCGGGUGGAGUACUUCCUGCUGGUUUUCCAUUGUGGCGGUCGAGGAGCGGCGAAAUCAAGGGAUUCCACCAACACUCAUUUAAAUUUAUUUUUAAUCACUUGCCAAUACUUCUUUUAGUUUGUUUAUAUUGAGCUCGCACAUGAGGUAGUUUAUAUCUAUGAGGAUUUAGGAUCAAUUUUUCAAGCUUGAAUUUGAUGUGUAAAUAUUUAUGAAGGUAUUGGAUCCCUUAAUGACUCCUUAGUACUGUUGA